AUGCAUCAUUUCAUAGUUUCACUACCGACGCACGCACGACACACAUCUCCACCUCGCGUGACUUGCUGAAUGGGACAAUUUGCAUCACUAAUCAACACCGGCUCCGGUGGCACGGAUGCCCGAACCUACACCCAACGGGCAAGGAAAUUUGCUAGUGAGUCAUCUACAAUUCAUCAUAAGUAAUUUAUAUACCGGCAAACUAAUCUGUACCAUAGUAUAAGCUAGAUAAAUUCUUGAGUUAGGUUAGAUCGAAUAAUUAGAGGCAAUAAUUUCUUUUUUUAUCCUCACAAACAUUUAUUGUAAAUUAGGCAUGACACGUAUAUUAGCUUGUUCUGAUUUAAUUUGUUCAUUGUCGCCGAUCUGUAUUUUUGUUUUUCUUGUAGUCAUCAAAACGAAGACAAUGAUUUAUUUUUUGAGAAGGCUAGAUCAAGCUCACAAGGUGAACCUAUUGGUGUCGAUGAUUCCAACAUGACUGAGUAUGGACAAGGUAGUGGACGGAAUAACACUCAUCCUAUUCCUUUAGAUGAUCACACUCUAUAUCAGAAUAUUUCAGCAUUUGUAGAAGUUCCACAGCAAGAGAGACUUGUAACAACA
rnacentral:lncRNA from 1 species